AUUGAACGCUGGCGGCAUGCUUUACACAUGCAAGUCGAACGGCAGCACAGCAGAGGUAACUCUGUGGGUGGCGAGUGGCGAACGGGUGAGUAAUACAUCGGAACGUACCCUGUUGUGGGGGAUAACUACGCGAAAGCGUAGCUAAUACCGCAUACGCCCUGAGGGGGAAAGCGGGGGACCCUAAAUAGAGCGCACUGGGGAGUGCGUUGUAUUUAGGGCCUCGCGCAAUAGGAGCGGCCGAUGUCGGAUUAGCUAGUUGGUGAGGUAAAGGCUUACCAAGGCAACGAUCUGUAGUUGGUCUGAGAGGACGACCAGCCACACUGGGACUGAGACACGGCCCAGACUCCUACGGGAGGCAGCAGUGGGGAAUUUUGGACAAUGGGCGCAAGCCUGAUCCAGCAAUGCCGCGUGCAGGAAGAAGG
rnacentral:rRNA from 1 species